rnacentral:rRNA from 1 species
AUGCAGAGACCCACGAACCCAAGGAGGUGGCUGCCCUCGUCGGCGGGGAAUGCCAAGAUAAAUGUUGACGCGGCUGUGUCUAGGCAGGGAUUCGGUUCUAUUGGAGUGAUCUGCAGAAAUCAUGAAGGCAUGUUCAUCGGCGCAUCAACUUUUGGCUUCAACAAUAUUGCAGAUCCACCGACCCUUGAAGCUCUAGCCAUUAGAGAAGCUCUGGCCCUGGCAGAUGACCUAUAUCUGAGGUGGGUUGAAGUUGCACCGGAUUGCAAAGUGGUGGUGGAAGAUUUACAGAAGGAUAAUCUUGCGAGCUAUGGUGCAAUUGUCCAUGAAAUAGUAGCUCACUCUUCAGCUUUCAAUUUUGUAACUUUAAACAUGAAUUUAGGAGCUCCAAUUACGAAGCUCACAACUUAG